rnacentral:lncRNA from 1 species
AUAAAUCUAAACCAACAAAACCACAUCUCCUAAAUGAGAAUUUUAGAAAUUAAAACCACAAAUCAAAUGACAAAUCAAAAGAGAGAGAGGAGAGACCUUCGAGAGAGUGGGCCGGUGCAAACUGAGCGGUGGUGGUCGUUGGAUGGGAGAACAACGGUGGGCGAUUGACAAGGAGAAGAGAGCUAGGGUUGCGUGAAAGAUGAAACAAAAAUGAUGGUAAGAGGUCGCGUGAAAGAGAAAUAGGUGAUGGUAUUUUUGUGAAAGAGAAGUAGGGGAUGGUAUAUUUG